CCUAAAAUUAGGAGUGACGGGCGAUUUGUGCUUACCAAAUAAAUUUUUCAAAUUUUAUUUUAAUUUAAAUCUUUACUUUUAAGUCCUAUUUUAUUUUUAUUUUUUAAAUUUUUAUUAAAAUGUAUUCCAUAUUCUAAAAAUUAUAAUUUUUGUCUUGAUCUGUUUUUUUAUUAAUUAAUUUUUAUAAAAUUUUUUUUAAGAUUAAAACAAUGAUGUAAAGAAUUAUAAAUUUAUUAAAUUUUAUCGUGGGUUAUCUAUUAUGGUACAGAAUCCCCUAAAAGUUUUGAUACCGCCAUAUUGAUUAGUUUUUUCUUUAUUUAGAUACUUUCUUUUUUUUUUUUAAAA
rnacentral:rRNA from 1 species